rnacentral:rRNA from 1 species
AUGGUGGGUGAUGGUUGUAAGACGAGAUUUUGGGAGGACACAUGGUUGGGGAGAAAGCCACUUUGUCAACUUUUCCCCCGCUUGUAUAAUUUAACUUUAUGUCAGCAUGUUACUGUUGCUAAAGUCUUUAACCAGGAUUUUGAUUGUAUUAGAUUUAGGAGGUGUCUCUUCGGAGAAACUCUUACAAUGUGGAAUGAAUUAAUUGAUAUGUGUAGUCAGGUUACUCUGUCGGAGGAGCCUGACAAAGUUAAAUGGCUUUUAACUAAAUCUGGAUCCUUCUCGGUUAAAUCGCUUUAUCAUUACCUUAUAGCUAGAGUUGUUACUUUCCCUUUUAAACUUCUUUGGAGGCUGAGAAUACCUCUAAAAGUAAAAUCAUUUAUAUGGUUAGUGAUCAAAGAGGGGUUCCUAACUAAGGAUAACUAG